CCCGGCACAAGCGGUGGAGCAUGUUGGUUUAAUUCGAUGAUACGCGAGGAACCUUACCUGGGCUCAAAUGUAUGUUGACGUAUUCUGAAAGGGAUACUUCCUCGGACAAUAUACAAGGUGCUGCAUGGUUGUCGUCAGCUCGUGUCGUGAGAUGUUGGGUUAAGUCCCGCAACGAGCGCAACCCUUGCCUUUAGUUGCCAGCAGUUCGGCUGGGCACUCUAAAGGGACUGCCGGGUGUUAAACCGGAGGAAGGUGGGGAUGACGUCAAGUCCUCAUGGCCUUUAUGACCAGGGCUACACACGUACUACAAUGGCCGAUACAAAGGGCAGCGACACUGCGAGGUGAAGCCAAUCCCGUAAAAUCGGUCUCAGUCCGGAUUGGAGUCUGCAACUCGACUCCAUGAAGUUGGAAUCGCUAGUAAUCGUGGAUCAGCAUGCCACGGUGAAUACGUUCCCGGGCCUU
rnacentral:rRNA from 1 species